CUUAAAGGAAUUGACGGGGCCGCACAAGCGGUGAAGCAUGUGGUUAAUUCGACGCAACGCGAAGAACUUACCAGGCUUGACAUCCCCUGACCGCGUAUGAAAGUACGUUUUCACCCUCGGGUGACAGGGAGACAGGUGGUGCAUGGUUGUCGUCAGCUCGUGUCGUGAGAUGUUGGGUUAAGUCCCGCAACGAGCGCAACCCCUACGUUUAGUUGCUAACGCGUGAAGGCGAGCACUCUAGACGAACUGCCGUUGACAAAACGGAGGAGGUGGGAUGACGUCAAAUCAUCAUGCCCCUUAUGUUCUGGGCUACACACGUGCUACAAUGGCCGGUACAGACGGACGCAAAGCCGCGAGGUGGAGCAAAUCCUAAAAAGCCGGUCUCAGUUCGGAUUGCAGGCUGCAAUUCGCCUGCAUGAAGUCGGAAUCGCUAGUAAUCGCAGGUCAGCAUACUGCGGUGAAUACGUUCCCGGGCCUU
rnacentral:rRNA from 1 species